GAUGAACGCUAGCUACAGGCUUAACACAUGCAAGUCGAGGGGAAACGACAUCGAAAGCUUGCUUUUGAUGGGCGUCGACCGGCGCACGGGUGAGUAACGCGUAUCCAACCUGCCCAUCACUUGGGGAUAACCUUGCGAAAGUAAGACUAAUACCCAAUGAUAUCUCUAGAAGACAUCUGAAAGAGAUUAAAGAUUUAUCGGUGAUGGAUGGGGAUGCGUCUGAUUAGCUUGUUGGCGGGGUAACGGCCCACCAAGGCAACGAUCAGUAGGGGUUCUGAGAGGAAGGUCCCCCACAUUGGAACUGGGACACGGUCCAAACUCCUACGGGAGGCAGCAGUGAGGAAUAUUGGUCAAUGGGCGAGAGCCUGAACCAGCCAAGUAGCGUGCAGGAAGACGGCCCUAUGGGUUGUAAACUGCUUUUAUAAGGGAAUAAAGUGAGAGUCGUGACUCUUUUUGUAUGUACCUUAUGAAUAAGGACCGGCUAAUUCCGUG
rnacentral:rRNA from 1 species